AUAAAACAAUUAAAACAGGGACAACACAACCACAUCUUUUGAAGGAUGUGGUUGUGUUGUCCCUGUUUUAAUUGUUUUAUUAU
rnacentral:pre_miRNA from 1 species